UACGUAGGGGGCUAGCGUUGUCCGGAAUCAUUGGGCGUAAAGAGCGUGUAGGCGGCUUGGUAGGUCCGCUGUGAAAACUCGAGGCUCAACCUCGAGAUGUCGGCGGAAACCACUUGGCUAGAGUCCGGAAGAGGAGAGUGGAAUUCCUGGUGUAGCGGUGAAAUGCGCAGAUAUCAGGAAGAACACCUAUGGCGAAGGCAGCUCGCUGGGACGUUACUGACACUGAGGCGCGAAAGCGUGGGGAGCGAACAGG
rnacentral:rRNA from 1 species